ACCGGCGCACGGGUGCGUAACGCGUAUAGACCUACCUUUUACAGGGGAAUAGCCUUUAGAAAUGAAGAUUAAUGCCCCAUAGUUUGGCAUCAAUAAAGAUUUAUCGGUAAAAGAUGGCUAUGCGUCCUAUUAGUUAGUUGGUAAGGUAACGGCUUACCAAGACAGCGAUAGGUAGGGGUCCUGAGAGGGAGAUCCCCCACACUGGUACUGAGACACGGACCAGACUCCUACGGGAGGCAGCAGUGAGGAAUAUUGGACAAUGGAGGAGACUCUGAUCCAGCCAUGCCGCGUGCAGGAAGAAUGCCUAUGGGUUGUAAACUGCUUUUAUACAGGAAGAAACACUACCUCGUGAGGUAGCUUGACGGUACC
rnacentral:rRNA from 1 species